rnacentral:siRNA from 1 species
GAAAAAGUUAUUUCUAGUGCUU